UACAGAAACAGACAGGCUCCACUGGUAAGACUGCUCCCAGCGACAGUGGUUAUUUUGGUGUGCAGCUAAAAUAGCUUGAAGUCAACAAGGGUUAAUUCACUUGUUUCCAUUGGCAGGACUGAAGACCGAACACUUGAGCCAGCUGAAAGCAGAUGGAGAAAACACGGUUUAUUCAUUGCCAGAGGCCAUUGUCUUACAUUUGUGACAUCAUAGUCCAUUGCCAUAGUAACAGUGAUGAUGUCACAUAAAGAGAAUUAGCACUAUUAAUCCAAAUAAGCACAAGAAGAGAUGAAUAAUGAGAGCAAGGCCUGAUUUAGACACUAAUUACUAGGACAUUUUUUGGACAAGAAGAAUACUUGAAAGGGCAUAUACACUAUUUCACUGGCUAUGGUCCCCUGUUUCAUUAUGGACUGACUUCUCCUGCUGCUGGAAGGAAGUGGUCAUUGUCCUUAACAGGCUUCUACAGGAAGGGAAAAAAAUCACCUGCUGGUCUGGAGGUUGUAACUCUCCCUUGCUAGUCUAAACACGGCUUUUGUACCGGUACAGCUGUGUUGAUUAGAGGUAUGAUUUUUUUAAAUAGUCAUACUGGUUCAACACCAAGUGUGGAUGCAGUUAUACUGUUGUAAAGCUGCCUUUUAUAUACUGGUGUA